CCGAGGCGCACCGGGAAAGGGCAAGGAGUCUCUGCACUGGCUUGACGCCCAUGCCCCCGGACUGCUUAGAGGUGUGCACUGGCAUUGGGAACCAGUGAGGCCAGGCUGGAAAGAAUCGGUGAAAUCGGCUAGAAGCAAAGGAAGAAGAAACAGGCAAAACACCACAGGGUGAUACCCCUGUGAAGGGCUCUGACCAGGUGGAUGGACCAGGCUGGCCACUGUUUGGAGAACAGUGGACUUUGGAGGAUGAGCAGAAGGGGACCAAGCUUUCCAGGGCCCAAGUCCAUGCUGGACUCGUUUCUGGAGAAAAGAAGGAAGAGUGGAUGCUGGUGAUAGAAGGGCACAGAGCCGAGCUGCCCCAAGCUGCGUGUGGGACCCCUGCCUACCCUGUCUCCUGCAGCUGCAUGAUGGUCAUCGGAAGGGCCAUGACUGGGCAGGAAGGACCUGUCACCUCCCCUCCCUGGACUCCUUCCUCUGCUGCACAGCACCAGGUAUAACGGGAAGGUUGGAGACAGUUUUAUCAGGUUGUCACCACUCCCCUGCUCCAUGGCCUGGGGAGGUGUUCAGACAGCAGAAAGCAGAACCCAGCCCUUGGAAAAAUCAACAACCACACCUGUUGCUCCCCAGAUAUCUUCUUUCUUUCUAGGUGUGGCCCUUUAUCCCUGGCUCAUACUUGGGGGAACCGGAGGGUGGGGUGAGAAGCAAUGGGAACCCUACAGCUCACUCACACAGAGGCCACAUUCAGAAGUGGUUUCUUCCACUUCUUUUUUGAACAGAAUCAAGGUGCCACCUACACCUAUCUGACUAGCGCUCCCCAGGGCGGUCAGCCUUAAUGCUGGCCUCCCUUGGGCUCCAAAGAAUCUGGAUCACAAUAACAAUAGAUAGGUUUAGAUUUCCAGGCCAGUGUCUUGCUCCGCAGAUGUAGAAACUAGGGCUUGGGGACGGAUGGUGAUCCAAGGCCACUAGACUACUCCAGGACACAGCAAGACUGGCAGACAGGUCACCUAGCACCCUCUUCCUUGGCGCCUGACACUUGGCCACCACUGGGUCCCUGUAGUGCAGGUCUCCCUAACCGUAAAUCCCUACUGUACAAAUGCAGUGGAGUCCUGGGAGUCACACCAGGGAUAGAGAUGGAGACCACGGGCCCAUCUUGGAAUUCUGUUGGCUGCAGUGCCUCAAGCUUGUGUUCCUCCCCACCUGGUUGGACCCCCCAGGCCAGCUCCUGGGAGGACAAGUCCUCCUCCACAGACUGCCCCUCCCUGCUUGGCGAGACCCAAUCCCAAUCUCCAAAACAUGGAAGCAGUGUGGUUUAGGCUCCCACUGAGGGUCUGAGAUUCUUUCGGGAAGCCAGAGAACAGGUGGCUGGGAGCAUGAUGGUUCAUUUUUUUUUUUUUUUUUUUUUUUUUUUUGAGACAGUGUCUCCCUAUGUAGUCUAGAAUAGCCUUGAACUCACUCUGUAGCCCAGGCUGGCCUUAAACUCUUGGCUAGAACUCCUGGGUGCUGAGAUGGUAGGCAUGUGCCACCACACCCAGCAAGCAUGGUGGUUCUAAACACAAGUGUU
ensembl:lncRNA